AUACGGAGGAUCCGAGCGUUAUCCGGAUUUAUUGGGUUUAAAGGGUGCGCAGGCGGGAGAUUAAGUCGGCGGUGAAAUUUUGCAGCUCAACUGUAAAAGUGCCUUCGAAACUGGUUUCCAUGAGUGUAGAUGAAGUAGGCGGAAUUUGUGGUGUAGCGGUGAAAUGCAUAGAUAUCACGAGGAACUCCGAUUGCGCAGGCAGCUUACUAAACUACUACUGACGCUCAGGCACGAAGGCGUGGGGAUCAAACAGGAUUAGAUACCCUGGUAGUCCACGCAGUAAACGAUGAUUACUAGCUGUUUGCGAUACAAUGUAAGCGGCUGAGCGAAAGCGUUAAGUAAUCCACCUGGGGAGUACGUUCGCAAGAAUGAAACUCAAAUGAAUUGACGGGG
rnacentral:rRNA from 1 species